rnacentral:rRNA from 1 species
AGUCGAACGGGAAACAUUUCAUUGAAGCUUCGGCAGAUUUGGUCUGUUUCUAGUGGCGGACGGGUGAGUAACGCGUGGGUAACCUGCCUUAUACUGGGGGAUAACAGCCAGAAAUGGCUGCUAAUACCGCAUAAGCGCACAGGACCGCAUGGUCCGGUGUGAAAAACUCCGGUGGUAUAAGAUGGACCCGCGUUGGAUUAGCUGGUUGGCAGGGCAGCGGCCUACCAAGGCGACGAUCCAUAGCCGGCCUGAGAGGGUGAACGGCCACAUUGGGACUGAGACACGGCCCAGACUCCUACGGGAGGCAGCAGUGGGGAAUAUUGCACAAUGGGGGAAACCCUGAUGCAGCGACGCCGCGUGAAGGAAGAAGUAUCUCGGUAUGUAAACUUCUAUCAGCAGGGAAGAUAAUGACGGUACCUGACUAAGAAGCCCCGGCUAACUACGUGCCAGCAGCCGCGGUAAUACGUAGGGGGCAAGCGUUAUCCGGAUUUACUGGGUGUAAAGGGAGCGUAGACGGCGCAGCAAGUCUGAUGUGAAAGGCAGGGGCUUAACCCCUGGACUGCAUUGGAAACUGUUGAGCUUGAGUGCCGGAGGGGUAAGCGGAAUUCCUAGUGUAGCGGUGAAAUGCGUAGAUAUUAGGAGGAACACCAGUGGCG